AAAACGGAGGAAAAAAAACUAACAAGGAUUCCCCUAGUAACGGCGAGUGAAGCGGGAUGAGCUCAAAUUUAAAAUCUGGCAGUCUAAGAUUGUCCGAGUUGUAGUCUAGAGAAGCGUUUUCCGCGUAGGCCUGUGUACAAGUCCCUUGGAAUAGGGCGUCAUAGAGGGUGAGAAUCCCGUCCUUGACACAGAUCAUCUAUGCUCUGCGAUGCGCUCUCGAAGAGUCGAGUUGUUUGGGAAUGCAGCUCAAAAUGGGUGGUAAAUUCCAUCUAAAGCUAAAUAUUGGCGAGAGACCGAUAGCGAACAAGUACCGUGAGGGAAAGAUGAAAAGCACUUUGGAAAGAGAGUUAAACAGUACGUGAAAUUGUUGAAAGGGAAACGAUUGAAGUCAGUCAUGUGGUUUGAGGUUCAGCCGGUUCUGCCGGUGUAUUCCUCAGACUACAGGCCAGCAUCAGUUUCGACCGGUGGAAAAAGUUGGAGGGAACGUGGCAUCCUCGGAUGUGUUAUAGCCCUCUUUCACAUGCAUCGGACGGGACUGAGGAACGCAGCGUGCCUUUAUGGUCGGUCUUCGGACACGAACGCGCUUAGGAUGCUGGCAUAAUGGCUUUAAACGACCCGUCUUGA
rnacentral:rRNA from 1 species